rnacentral:rRNA from 1 species
GACGAACGCUGGCGGCGUGCUUAACACAUGCAAGUCGAACGGAAAGGCCCUGCUUUUGUGGGGUGCUCGAGUGGCGAACGGGUGAGUAACACGUGAGUAACCUGCCCUUGACUUUGGGAUAACUUCAGGAAACUGGGGCUAAUACCGGAUAUGAGCUCCUGCAGCAUGGUGGGGGUUGGAAAGUUUCGGCGGUUGGGGAUGGACUUGCGGCUUAUCAGCUUGUUGGUGGGGUAGUGGCUUACCAAGGCUUUGACGGGUAGCCGGCUUGAGAGGGUGACCGGCCACAAUGGGAUUGAGGGACGCGCCGGACUGAUACGUGGGGCAGCGGUGGGGAAUAUUCCAGAAUGGGCGGAAGCAUGAUGGAACAACUCCGGGUGCGGAAAGACGGCUUUUGGGGUGGAAACCGCGUGCGCCUGGGACGAAGAGUGAGUGACGGUAACGGGUAAAGAAGCACCGGCUAACUACGUG